rnacentral:misc_RNA from 1 species
GAUGAAGAACGUAGUGAAAUGCGAUAAGUAAUGCGAAUUGCAGAAUUUCCGUGAGUCAUCGAAUCUUUGAACGCACAUUGCGCCCUCUGGUAUUCCGGGGGGCAUGCCUGUUCGAGCGUCAUUACAACCCUCAAGCUUUGCUUGGUAUUGGACAUUGCCAGUUUCUGGCAGGUCUUAAAAUCAGUGGCGGUGCCAUUUGGCUUCAAGCGUAGUAAUUCUUCUCGCUUUGGAGAUCCAAGUGGUUACUUGCCAAUAACCCCCAAUUUUUUCAGGUUGACCUCGGAUCAGGUAGGGAUACCCGCUGAACUUAAGCAUAUCAAUAAGCGGAGGA